AUUUUAGGGGCAGUUUUGUCCAAAUGGUGGUGCUUGGUUAGGAUAGUUAUAGUAAUGGUCGUGGUAGUGGCGGCAAUGGAGGUGGUGCAUGUGUCAAAGUGUGGCGUUGGUGAAUCAUGUUGAAAAACAACAUACAGGUUGAGCUAAAGAUGCAUAACUCUUUUUCGCAAGUAAGAAGAUCUUUUAUUUUCACUAUGUUUGCAAUUCCCUUCAUCGUAUACUUUUCUUUAAUGCAAUUAUAUCUUUAAUAAAAAGUGGAUUUUUAUGCUAUGUUAAAAUCCUUUUACUAUUUCCAUUCAACUAUAUUCAACAAAAUUAUAAGACUAUUAAGAAA